rnacentral:lncRNA from 1 species
GGUUUUUGAUGGUUUGAUGCCCCUAGGAACUUGUAUGUUUUGCUUGUGUAUGAUUGGGAAUGUUGUAGAAUAGGUUUAUGCAUGUUUGGAUGAGAUAGGAGGCAUAAAUGCAUAGGGGAGCUGAGUUUCUGCCAUUCUGGGAGAAACCAGGUUCGGCAGCCGAAGGAACUUUCGGCCGCCGAACAUGCUUGUGGAGGCAGCCUUCGGCUGCCGAAGCUUGCCCCCGAAAGGAGACUUUCGUCUCUGUCUGGGACUUUCGGCCGCCGAAGGUGCCGCCGAACAUGCAUGAGUUUCGCCUCUGUCUGGGAGUUUCGGCCGCCGAAGGUGCCGCCGAACCUGCCUGACUUUCGGCUCUGGAGGGACUUUUGGCCGCCGAAC